rnacentral:lncRNA from 1 species
UGCUAAUCCUUUUGGUGCAAAAAUCCGCCUGCGUCGGAGAAGCUGGAGUCGAGGGAGUCGCAGUCGCCAUCGGGACCUACAAAAGAAGUCUAAACCGGAGGUGGGGUUGCUCUGGCAAGACCCUCCGAUGCUCAAGUCAGUUCUCUGCAUCAACAAGAAUGGAGUGCUCGAACGAAAAUUUUAGCAGAGUUUCUAGGUAAGAAAAUGAGAGCUUAGAGAAUAACG